rnacentral:rRNA from 1 species
GUAAACGGCUGCAUAAAUCUGAGUGUACUAAGGUAGCGCUAUAAUUUGCCCUUUAAAUGGGGGCUGGUAUGAAUGGGUUCACGUGAGAGUUGCUGUGUCACAAAAAUUUUUUGAAAUUAACUUUUAGGUGAAGAGGCCUAUCUAAAAUUAAAGGACGACAAGACCCUAGAAGCUUUACUGAAGAUAGUUUUAGAUUAAGUUAUUUUAGUUUUGUUGGGGCGACAUAGUUAGAAAAUAUAACUUGUUUUUAUAAACUCACAAGUUAAAACCACAUUGGUGAAUAAGAUAAGUUACUCUAGGGAUAACAGCGUUAUUUUUUUUAAUAGUACGUAUUGUAAAAAAAGUUUGCGACCUCGAUGUUGGACUAAGGUGUCCUUAAGGCGUAGAAGUUUUAAAGGGUUGGCCUGUUCGUCCAUUAAAACCUUACA